UACGGAGGGUGCAAGCGUUAUCCGGAUUCACUGGGUUUAAAGGGUGCGUAGGUGGGCUGGUAAGUCAGUGGUGAAAUCUCCAGGCUUAACUUGGAAACUGCCAUUGAUACUAUCAGUCUUGAAUACCGUGGAGGUCAGCGGAAUAUGUCAUGUAGCGGUGAAAUGCUUAGAUAUGACAUAGAACACCAAUUGCGAAGGCAGCUGGCUACACGAAUAUUGACACUGAUGCGCGAAAGCGUGGGGAGCAAACAGG
rnacentral:rRNA from 1 species